GAUUCAAGGCGAGGCAAGAGGUGCUUCAGAUGCUGUCUUUUGCAGUCCUCCGAGAGGUUAGGGAUGUGGGAGGUCCCUGGGGGCCAUCUCUUACAAGACACAGUUUCCACUAAAUUGGAUCGUAUUUGUACAUCUCUACACCUGUGCGUGAUAGUAAACUUUUGCACCCAAAUACCCCGACCCCUGAAGGAGAGUGUGAGUUAAAAGGAUCUGAAGAACGGACCCUUUGUUUAAGGUCUCACAUUCUAUUUCUUUAAUUCAAGCGAAAUAUAUUCCAAAAUGCAUCUUUUAUUGUAAGCUAUAAAAAUAGCUAUUACUUCGAGUAAAAUGUAGGCUCCAGGAAGAUGCUUGUAAAUUUUCUCAGAACAGAAAUGGUAUUUUUAUUGUAUCCUUAUUGUCUGUCACAGUAUAGGUGCUCAUUAAUUUUUAAAGUGGGUUUUAUUAUCUAGAAUCCAGGAGAACUGAAAGUCUCUUAAAGAUUCUUGGCCUUUUAAUUAUCUUAAGGUCGGGAUAGCAGGGAAACAAAAACUUGUUUUAAACUCCCAGUGAAAAAUGAGGAACAGGUAAAUAAGACAAGCCCCACCAAGGCCCAAGCGUGCUAGUAAUUCUCUGCAUCUACUGUAAGCUGUUUUCUGCAGUGCGUCUAUGGUCCUCCCACCACUUUCAUACUGCUCGCCGACUAGGCAAGCGAUUUGAUGCCUAGAACUAGGGAAUGACAGAAAGGAAAAAACAAUGAAUAGUUUCUUCAACUGUGUCUGCAGGAGGUUGCAUUCUGUAAUUCUUUUACUGUUUACUUUGUGGUUGGCACUUUGUUAAGCAAUGAUUAGACAAAAACAAAAUUUAUUUCUGCUUCCAAGGAGCUCACAGACUAGUGAGAGAGGAAUAAACAGUUAAUCACAGUGUGGUGUGAAAAGUGUCAUAACAGAAACACAUGGAUAUAAACAGGAUAAAAUGAUAGGGGCUAAAGCAGGAGCGUUCUGGGAGGAGAUUAAUGCCUGCAUGGAACUUAAUUUGAUGCAAUUGUGACUUCCUAGUAAACUAGGCAAGCUAUCCUAAAGGUAAUGAAACAGAGAAGGCUCACAGAUCAAAUUAAGAUUAUUAAAUAAUAUAGCCUAUUCAAUUUAAGUAUCCAGUGAAAAGGUGAAAGAGUUGUGGUAAGUGGACACACUUAGGAUAAGGUGCAAGCAAGUGGAAGGACGCCAUCACCUGAAUCAUGGGUUAAGUAAUGUUCAUAUAUCCUAUCUGCCACAACAGCCUUCUCCGCUGGUGGUAUACUUACGAGGACCAGAGGUGAGGUGUCAGCAAGGAGGCCCACAGGUGGAAAGUGCUUUGGGCCAAUGGUACACACCUGCUUUAUUGGAUAGACGCAGAGAAGUAUGCCUGGUCACAGCCAGAGCUUACUCGGUAAGUUGUUGAACAGAUACAGGUUUUAUUUGCAUUUCCUGGGCAGAGCACAUAUGAGACUAUUCUAAGUGUGACCAAUGGGUGGCUGAUUUAGAGGUGACAUAGUUAAUAGCCCAGAGAUGUCAUGAUUGCUCAUUGCUUAGUUUUUCCAUCCCUUUUUGGCUAUCAGUGACUCUCUAUUCCAUCAUAUUUCUAUUUAACUUUGGCAUGUCUUAUAGUUUACUAACUUACUCUAUAUAUUUUACAUAAUCCUGCCUAUGUUUCACAAAGUACAUGCUUACUCAUAUUCUAUAUUUAAAAUAUGCUAGGAGUUUUGCAUUUAUCUCAUAAGCUACUAGCUUAGUUACUGUCUAUAGUUAACACUUCUUACGCCUUUCAUCCAUCCCUAAGGAAACUGCAAAGCCUUUCAGUAUGGGUAGAGUGGAAAGCUGGAAAGGCGCAUAGGUAACAAAUAAUGCCCUUUUUAUGCCAUAUUAGAGAUACUGAAUUUUAACCUGUGAAAACUGUAAAACUAUCAGGAGUGUAGAGAAUAGAAGAGAGGUGCGGUCCUGGGCUAGAGGGCCAGGUGGAAACUCUUGCCCUAACGCAGAUGAUUAAGAAGAGGGCCUCCAUCAAGUGAGGCAGUGGCUCUAUGGGUUGAAAUGUGAUUCCCUCCCACUCACCUCCUCCCACUGGAUUUGGUAAUGUCUAGAAACAUUGUGGCUGUACCAGCAAGGGGUGCUACUAGUAUCUAGAGGGGUAAAGGACAGGGUAACUGCUAAACACUUAACAAUGCACAGGACAACCUCCCUCCUCCAACAACAAAGAACUAACUGGCUCAAGAUUUCAGUAGAGCCAAGAUUGAGAAACCCUAAAUGAAGGACAUUUAAAAGGCAUAGAGAUGAUAGAAGUUAAGUAAGAAUUGGUCAGAUUUUUUAACUGAUUAGAUAUAGAGGUUAGGAAGUAGUAAAUAAUUAUUUCAGGUUUCUAGCUUGGAUAACUGGGAGGUCAAAAGGAGGAAUGGGCUAGGGAGAACAGAGAUAAGAAUUUAAAUACUGAAUACGCUAAGUUUUCUCAAACUUAUCAAAUGUACCUCCAAGUGAAGAUAUACAGCUGGCAGCUGGAAGAAGAGGGCAGGAUAAGAGAGGGAUCUCAGCUGGAAGAUAAGAGUUUUGGGAGAUGUUAGUCUGUGAGUGGUAGUUCUAUCUUUGGAGCUGGGUGGGAUAGGGAAGAUGAUACCUAUGGAAUGUAUAGGGUAAAAUGAGAAAGAAUAGGGCUAAAGAUUAUUCUAAAUUUCUGAGCUCUCGUUCUAUUUUACUGAAUCAGAAUCUCGGUCCUCCAAGCCAGUCUACCAGAUCAUAAUAUCUGCAGAUAAGAUCCAAGAAUCUGCAUUUUUGGCAAGCAACCCAGGUGAUUUUGCAGCACACUACGAUUUUAGAACAACAGAUUUAGGUCUCAGAAAAGUCUGAGAAGGAGCAGACAGCGAGGUAGCAAGAAAACUAGGGAAGAACAGAGACCCACAAACCAAGAAAGGAAAGUUUAAAGCAGGGCUCUGUCGGUGCAAGAGGUUGUUAUAGAGCAGUACUGGCCAUUAGAAAUACAAUGUGAGUCACAUAAGCCAUUGUAAAUUUUCUAGUAGUGAUAUAAAAAGGUAAACAGAAGCAGAUGAAAUUAAUUUUAGAGAUAGCGCUUGUUUAACCCAAUAAUUAAGACAUUAUCAUUUUAACAUGCAAUUAACAUAAAAACUAAUGAGAUAUGUCACGUCCUUUAAUUCAUAUUAUGUCUUGGAAACCUGGUGUGUGUAUUACACCUCCAGUGCCUCUCAAUUUGGUCUAGCUACACUUCAAAUAUUCAGUAGCCGCAUGUGCCUAGUGGCUACCAGAGUGGAUAGCACAGGUGUAGAAAGUCAAGUAAGGAAAUAACUCAUUUUCCAGCUCAGACUGAAAUGAACUAGAAGGAAAAUAAAAAGAACUAAAUAUAUUCCUUAGCUGUACUAAUAAGAUAGUUAUAGAUGGUGUAAUAAGACCUGUUUCAGUGAUAUGGUGAUGGUAGAAGUCAGAAUAUAC
rnacentral:lncRNA from 10 species